rnacentral:rRNA from 1 species
GACGAACGCUGGCGGCGUGCUUAACACAUGCAAGUCGAGCGGUAAGGCUCCUUCGGGAGUACACGAGCGGCGAACGGGUGAGUAACACGUGAGCAAUCUGCCCUUCACACUGGGAUACCCCCCGGAAACGGGAGCUAAUACCAGAUACGACCACUUCGGGCAUCCGAUGGUGGUGGAAAGUUCCGGCGGUGAAGGAUGAGCUCGCGGCCUAUCAGCUUGUUGGUGAGGUAAUGGCUCACCAAGGCUUCGACGGGUAGCCGGCCUGAGAGGGUGACCGGCCACACUGGGACUGAGACACGGCCCAGACUCCUACGGGAGGCAGCAGUGGGGAAUAUUGGACAAUGGGCGAAAGCCUGAUCCAGCAACGCCGCGUGAGGGAUGACGGCCUUCGGGUUGUAAACCUCUUUCAGCAGGGACGAAGCGCAAGUGACGGUACCUGCAGAAGAAGCACCGGCCAACUACGUGCCAGCAGCAGCCGCAGUAA